rnacentral:lncRNA from 1 species
CCCUACCUCAAUUCAAACUUUAAAACACACACACUCUCUCUCCCUGUCCGUCAAAGAUCUAGAUCUGGAUUUGGAUUUGGAUUUGAUCUCUCAUCGCGAUCCACCAUAAGUCACUGCUGUGGAGGAGGGCCGACCACCGUUCUGUACACCUUCCCUCAUGCAGACGCAUGUAGAGGAGAACGGAGCGACAUAGCCCUAGACGCAGGUUCCUUAUAUCUCUUUGAAGGUUGAUGCUUAAAACAGAGAUAAAGAUUGAAUCAUCUGGUGUGAUGGAUAAAUUACAGAAAGAGAAGGGCUGUAAACCAACAAGAUUCUCAUCGUCCACUUCCUCUGCUCAUGCUUCAUCUUAAUAAUAAUGUAUAAACAGGUAAAAAGUAAGUAAAAUAUAGUUUUUGUUACUUAUUUUUAUAUCCCUGUUGAUUUUUUGAUUAAUUACCCUAUCUAGCUCAAAUUGCUUUUAAUCAUAUGUUUUUGAUGAAAACCCUAAAUCUAUAGUCAUACCAGGUUGAAGCUUUUUACAGGGAUUAUUUAUAUUGUUUUUAUUUCAUUUGCUGGUUAGUUUAUUUAUUAUUAAAAAGGCUAAAAAGAAAACAGUGGUUUUGUUAGAAA